ACUUACGCUUCUUUAGACGUUUCUGCACACGACAAGGUUCAACUAAUUAGUUUUAUCCUACAAAUUACAAAACCGCAAAUACAUGUUUGUACAAGUGCACAUACACCUGUAUGCAAGCAUGUGUUAAUAUAUGUGUAAGCAUCCAUCUGUUCAUAUUAAAUAAGAUAAGAACUCUAUUCUAGCACUGAGAUUAUACCAAGGUUGGUUACAGUUUCACAGGAUUAUAUGUUCCACUAUCACUUCCAGAACAACAAUUAAAAUAACAAACAGAAAUAGAAAGUUCUUGACCUUCAAAGAAUCUAG
rnacentral:misc_RNA from 1 species